AGGUUACUGCUAUCGGUGUUCGCUAAGCCAUGCGAGUCAUAUGUUCGUAAGAACAUGGCGUACUGCUCAGUAACACGUGGAUAACCUGCCCUUGGGUCCGGCAUAACCCCGGGAAACUGGGGAUAAUUCCGGAUAGGCCAUGACAUCUGGAAUCGAGUUGUGGUUUAAACGUAAGGCUCUUGGAUGGGUCUGCGGCGGAUUAGGUUGUUGCCGGUGUAACGUACCAGCAAGCCUGUAAUCCGUACGGGUUGUGGGAGCAAGAGCCCGGAGAUGGAUUCUGAGACACGAAUCCAGGCCCUACGGGGCGCAGCAGGCGCGAAAACUCUACAAUGCAGGCAACUGCGAUAGGGGAACAUCGAGUGGCAUCCACCAUGGAUGUCUGUCCAAUCGUCUAAAAAACGAUUGUCAGCAAGGGCCGGGCAAGACCGGUGCCAGCCGCCGCGGUAAUACCGGCGGCUCGAGUGGUGGCCGAUAUUAUUGAGUCUAAAGGGUCCGUAGCCGGCUUUGCAAGUCCUAUGGGAAAUCCAGCGGCUUAACCGUUGGGCUUUCAUGGGAUACUACAUUGCUUGGGACUGGGAGAGGUAGGAGGUACUCAGGGGGUAGGGGUGAAAUCCUGUAAUCCUUUGGGGACCACCGGUGGCGAAGGCGUCCUACCAGAACAGGUCCGACGGUGAGGGACGAAAGCUAGGGGCACGAACCGGAUUAGAUACCCGGGUAGUCCUAGCCGUAAACGAUGCUCGCUAGGUGUCACGGCAGUCGUGAAUUGUCGUGGUGCCGUAGGGAAGCCGUGAAGCGAGCCACUUGGGAAGUACGACCGCAAGGUUGAAACUUAA
rnacentral:rRNA from 1 species